rnacentral:rRNA from 1 species
UACGUAGGGGUCGAGCGUUGUCCGGAGUUACUGGGCGUAAAGCGUGCGCAGGCGGCUUGUUGCGCCCGGCGUGAAAGCCCCCGGCUCAACUGGGGAGGGUCACGCGAUACUGAUCGACUCGAAGGCAGGAGAGGGAAGUGGAAUUCCCGGUGUAGUAGUGAAAUGCGUAGAUAUCGGGAGGAACACCAGUGGCGAAGGCGACUUCCUGGCCUGUUCUUGACGCUGAGGCGCGAAAGCUAGGGGAGCAAACGGG